rnacentral:lncRNA from 1 species
GGCAGACUUUGUUCAGACAAUGAAAGAAAGCUAUGCUGAGGUAACCGUGUUCUUCAUGUCAAACUUCUGUCAAAUGAAACUGGUUUUGCACCGUAACACUGGAACAGUUUGCUAGUCAAAAAGAGAUUCUCGGUGCAACUAUAACAAUUUUAUUCCUUGUUUAGAUAACUAAACAAAUAGCAUAUUUUCUUAUGAUGAAAGCAACUUAGCUUUCUUAAUUCUAGAUAUUUAAAUCUGAGCUAAUCAUCUAUGUUGCUUUUUAUAGGCAAUCAAAAGGAAUAAAUCUUUCUAGAGCACAAUCCAGUGACCUACUUUAAAUAUCUCUUAGGAGGAGAUGUUCUCUGUCUUAGAAAUGUCUUUUAAGAGAGACCAGGCUCUGCAAAUAUCUUGUAAACAAAUUCCAUUCUGUAGACAAAGCUUGCUCCGUCAAAAAAGCAGACAAGUGGCCUGGAGAUUAAUUCAGCAAGGUCAUCAC